GGCCCAGGAGAGAGAUAUCCAGGCAGACCUUGGGAGAGAAGGAGCCCUUUCCUCUGGCUUCUCAUUCCAAUUCCUCCAAGGGAGGAAUGUCCUACCAAAAGUGGGCAGGCGGCUUCCAGGACCUGGCUGUGGAAGGUCCAGACUCUAGCCUGGAGCGAUUGGGGGUGGUCUAAAACCAUGUGGACCACCUGGAAGGCACAGAGGCUUUGACAAGCAGUGCAGCAACAAGACAGAAACUACCAUUCGCGAGAUAAAUUCAGGGACUGGCUCAGUGAGACGCCCCCACAGUUGUGCUUCGUGUUGCCAACGCGCCUGUUCUGGCAAGCUACAGAGGAAGGAGGCUGCUGGAGAGAAGGGGUCUUGAUGCCUCCGCAGAAGGACACAAAACCUUCGUUAUUUAAUAGUUCUUCAGCAUCUGAGAAAUUUUAUACCAGGGAAAAGGCUUCGAAAACUUCAUGUGGAGUAUUUUAAGAAUUAUAAGUAGAAAUCAGAUCACAUUAAAUAGUGCAUGUCUAAGCCAAGUACAAGUUAAAUUGCCUAACGGGCUACAUAGGGCAACAGGGUAGUUGUGGAUCUGCACUGUGUGUGCCUGUAACUGGCAGCAUGUGGACUGAGGGAGCCAAUUUCCUGUGUCCCCUGGCCCCAGGCUUCACAAGCACCCCAGCUCCAGGACACUCCGAAGGCUCCUCUGUAAAACCCUGCCUGUGACAGCAGUGCCUGAGGCAGAAGUCACAUUGACUCAGAGAAGAGGCCAAACCAUGGUGUGACACAGAACUCCGUGCCUUCCAGGACCUGGCAACAAUCAUUUUGUCUCUGUGGUUUCUCCUAGGAGGAGUCAUUGGUCAUCAGACCACCUAGAGUAGCAGUUCUCUGAGGGUGGGCUGCAGAGCCUUGGGAAGCCCAGCCCUAUUGCAGGUGGCCCAGGAGUCAAAGCCAUUUUCAUGAUAAUAUUAAGAUGCUCUUUGGCUCUUUUCAUCUUACUGGCAUGCAUUGAUGACCAAGAAGUGAUGGUGGAGGAUGGGGAGGGAACACCAGUG
ensembl:lncRNA